GAUGAACGCUGGCGGCGUGCUUAACACAUGCAAGUCGAACGAUGAAGCCGGAGCUUGCUCUGGUGAAUUAGUGGCGAACGGGUGAGUAACACGUGAGUAACCUGCCCUUGACUCUGGGAUAACUGCGGGAAACUGUAGCUAAUACCGGAUACGACCCUCGGAGGCAUCUCCUGGGGGUGGAAAGAAUUUCGGUCAAGGAUGGACUCGCGGCCUAUCAGCUAGUUGGUGAGGUAAAGGCUCACCAAGGCGACGACGGGUAGCCGGCCUGAGAGGGUGACCGGCCACACUGGAACUGAGACACGGCCCAGACUCCUACGGGAGGCAGCAGUGGGGAAUAUUGCACAAUGGGCGCAAGCCUGAUGCAGCAACGCCGCGUGAGGGAUGACGGCCUUCGGGUUGUAAACCUCUUUUAGCAGGGAAGAAGCGAAAGUGACGGUACCUGCAGAAAAAGCACCGGCUAACUACGUGCCAGCAGCCGCCGUAA
rnacentral:rRNA from 1 species